rnacentral:rRNA from 1 species
AUUGAACGCUGGCGGCAGGCCUAACACAUGCAAGUCGAGCGAGCGGCGGACGGGUGAGUAAUGUAUGGGGACUGCCCGAUAGAGGGGGAAAACUACUGGAAACGGUGGCUAAUACCGCAUAUUGUCGGAUAAACCCUAUGGGAUUAGCUAGUAGGUAAGGUAAGGGCUUACCUAGGCGACGAUCCCUAGCUGGUCUGAGAGGAUGAUCAGCCACACUGGGACUGAGACACGGCCCAGACUCCUACGGAGGCAGCAGUGGGGAAUAUUGCACAAUGGGCGCAAGCCUGAUGCAGCCAUGCCGCGUGUAUGAAGAAGGCCCUAGGGUUGUAAAGUACUUUCAGUCGGGAGGCGUUACCGACAGAAGAAGCACCGGCUAACUCCGUGCCAGCAGCCGCGGUAAUAC